rnacentral:misc_RNA from 1 species
GAUGAAGAACGUAGCAAAAUGCGAUACUUGGUGUGAAUUGCAGAAUCCCGUGAACCAUCGAGUCUUUGAACGCAAGUUGCGCCCGAAGCCACUAGGCGGAGGGCACGCCUGCCUGGGCGUCACACGUCGUUGCCCCCCCCCAUCUACUCCUUCGGGAUUGCGGGGGGCGGAUGAUGGCCUCCCGUGCGCCUAGCCGCGCGGUUGGCAUAAAUACCAAGUCCUCGGCGACGCACGCCACGACAAUCGGUGGUUGCGAAACCUCGGUUGCCCGUCGUGUGCGUUCGUCGCGCAUCGAGGGCUCGAAAAAAUGCUCGGCUCCGGCUCGGCUUUCAACGCGACCCCAGGUCAGGCGGGGUUACCCGCUGAAUUUAAGCAUAUCAAUAAGCGGAGGA